rnacentral:rRNA from 1 species
UACGAAGGGGGCGAGCGUUGUUCGGAUUUACUGGGCGUAAAGGGCGCGUAGGCGGCCAGCUUUGUCAGGCGUGAAAGCCCUGGGCUCAACCUGGGAAUUGCGCUUGGGACGGGUUGGCUUGAGAUCGGGAGAGGAGAGUGGAAUUCCCAGUGUAGAGGUGAAAUUCGUAGAUAUUCGGAAGAACACCAGUGGCGAAGGCGACUUACUGGACACAUAUUGACGCUGAGGUGCGAAAGCGUGGGGAGCAAACAGG